rnacentral:misc_RNA from 1 species
AAAUUCUGGUAAUAAAUCAUAGAUUUAAGCAGAUAAAACAGCUGGCUUCUGUGUUGCCUCUUCUGCCUGCAAGCUCUCAUAAUAUUUGACAAGGACUUCCCAACCGCCAGCAGGGCACAAAAAACCAUCUGGAGGGUUCGUAGCCCUUUCUUGCAUAAGUCCGCAUCUGCAACAAAACAAUGAGCAUACCCUAAACCAUAUAGGUUGUUUAUAUGACAUGAUUGUUUCCAACACCAUUUAGAUAUAAAAUCUUCAACAUUCA